UUACGACCACACCACGUUGAAAACACCGGUUCCGUAGGAGCACCGAAGUUAAGCAACAUCAAGCCAGGUCAGUGCCUAGAUGGAUGACCGCCUGAGAAAACCAGGUACU